rnacentral:rRNA from 1 species
CAAUAGCGUAUAUUUAAGUUGUUGCAGUUAAAAAGCUCGUAGUUGGAUUUCGGUUAAGAGCGACCGGUCCGCCGUUUGGUGUGCACUGGUUGGUUUUAACUUCCUGUAGAGGACGUGCUCUGGGCUUAACGACCUGGACUCGGAGUCUACGUGGUUACUUUGAAAAAAUUAGAGUGUUCAAAGCGGGCUUACGCUUGAAUAUUUCAGCAUGGAAUAACACUAUAGGACUCCUGUCCUAUUUCGUUGGUCUCGGGACGGGAGUAAUGAUUAAGAGGAACAGUUGGGGGCAUUCGUAUUUCAUUGUCAGAGGUGAAAUUCUUGGAUUUAUGAAAGACGAACUUCUGCGAAAGCAUUUGCCAAGGAUGUUUUCAUUAA